AAGGGAAAGAGCCCAGACUGCCAGCUAAGGUCCCUAAAUGUGUGCUAAGUGGUCAAGGAUGUGGGGAAACAUAGACAACCAGGAGGUUGGCUUAGAAGCAGCCAUCCUUUAAAAGAAAGCGUAAUAGCUCACUGGUCAAGUUUUCCUGCGCCGUAAAUAUAACGGGGCUAAGCACACUACCGAAGCUGCGGACUCCAGCAAUGGAGUGGUAGGGGAGCGUUCCAGUUGCGUUGAAGCCAUCUCGCGAGGGUUGGUGAAGCGACUGGAAGUGCGAAUGCUGACAUGAGUAGCGAUAAAACGGGUGAAAAACCCGUUACGCCGGAAGCCCAAGGGUUCCUGUCCAAGGGAUCAUCCGGCAGGGUUAGUCGGUCCUAAGACGUAGCUGAAAAGCGAAGCCGAU
rnacentral:rRNA from 1 species